AGCUCGCAUGGAAUCUCUCUCCCACUUUGGCCGCACCUCCUCCCACUUCGGCCGCUCCUCCUCCUUCAGUCCUCUCUGGGGACCUCUCGCCGGCCUCUCUGGACGCCGGUGUCCAGAUCCCGCUGGCUUUAGUCCCUCCCAAGCGAACUCUUAGCGGGAUCCUAUCCUUUGCGCCUCCUCCAGCGCCGACCGCACCUUGUGUGCCUCCCCUUGCUUAUUUGGCCAGCAGCCUCGCCACACCUUGCUACCGUCGGCGCUCCUGUGAAGGGCGACCUCCGACCAUCCUUCGAAGGUUGAUUUAGCAAAAUAUGUGGAUGCAUUGCUUGGUUUUAUAUCAAAUUUUGCUGAGAGAUUCUAUUUAAGUGGGAAGGUUACAUGUGAAGAUGGUUCAGAAUUGUCACUUGAGUAGCAGAUAAUAUGCAACAGGUCUAGAGUGAUGGCUAUGUGGCGAGGAGCUGAUAGUUGUUCCAAGCAGCUCAAGGCAAAGAUGAUCCUAUUCACCAUUAGUUUCUGGUGGAAAUUAUACAUAUUACAAUUUGACUGAAAGAUUUUUUGCUGGUGGAAGAGGAUUUGAGACAAACAAUCUUUGCAAACACAUUUGACAAUGCAGUUUUAGUUAAAUCUGGUUAUAUUUCUACCCUCAUCUGCCAACAUUCAUCUCUAUUGACAUUUAAUGGGUUUUUUCUCUCAAUUGCUAUUUUUUAAAUAUCCUCCAAUGUGUAGCAUGAUUGUUCUUUUUUAGUUUAAUGUUGAAUAUUAAAAUAUUAAUAAUAAAUUGAUAAAUUUGUCAUCUGAAACAGAGAUAAUUUGUGUAAAAGGUGUUUUCUUAUUAUAAAGAGACUUUACAUCUAAAGAUAUAAAGUCAUAGAGAAAAAACUUAACAUGUCCAACAAGAGAUCUGUAUAACUUACAGAAUCUUUGGCAGAAACCAAUUACCAAUAUCUCUCCCUAGGAUUGCCAACUUUUGGAUUUUCUAAAUUAUGCAUAACAAAAAAUUUAUUUUCUCUAGCACAAAUGUCUCGACUCAUUGCGUCGAUCUUACUGUAGAGGGCUCUAUUCAUCCACUUCUUUGCUCACAAGGAUCACUUUCAUUAAGCCAUUGGGCUGCUUUUUUUUU